rnacentral:tRNA from 1 species
GCCGGCGUAGCUCAGUUGGCAGAGCAGCUGAUUCGUAAUCAGCAGGUCGCGGGUUCAAUUCCCCCCGCCGGCUCCA